GUGGUUCAGAAGAAAAGAGAAAAGAGUUGGUGGCCUCAAGUAAGAAAUUUAGGGGCCUGCGUUGUCUUCCGGUGUCCGAGGUGUGUAACUGAAGAAGCUUAAAUCCCCUGGAGACCUGGAGGCCCUCCUGGAGAAAAACAUUCUUAACAUGAGUUAUAUCGCCUGAACCUGUUGUUUGGUAGAGUUCCCGUGUAGGGACUUAUCCCCAUGGGAGCUACAUCACCACCAGUUGGUCCACCGGGGCAGUCGUCAAUAUCAGACUUUUCGGCGCCAAUCAACUUUCUUUUUUUUUUUUCCUUCUCGCCAAGCAUUGUAAAGCGAAUAUAUACAUGAUCAUCUCACAGUCAUUAGCUCAGUCCUCCAGAACUUCAUCGGAAGCUUCACCGUCUGCGAGCGCGUGUAACAAACAAAGAUGGCUGCAAAGAUGACUACCGGUAAGCCUCAAAUUCUUCCCAAACUUUUCCUCUGUAGUUUUCUAAAUAGUUUUAGAAAACUAUUAAUGAAUGAACUAUUAAUGAUUAACUACUAUUUACGAAUAACUGUGUUUUAGAAGUUACAGUAGAGGUUCACCAUAUGCCAAUUUAUCCUGGUAAGCAAUCCGUGAUCUUUUUAACCUGAAAGUUGUUCUAUUUUUAUUCUAGAUUUUUAAGUGUAACUUUCUGUAUCUUUAAAGUCAGCGCCGAUGAGUUUGAAGGAAUAACCCUCACGCAAACAGACAUUGAUCUGUUAGCCAGGGCUGAAAGAUUGGUAUCCGAAGACAACCAAGAAACUGAAAAAGCAGUAAAAGCAUUGCUGUGUUCUGAAACCCCACCCCCCGUGCAGGGGACAAAUUGCUGUGUAACUGAAAUUGGUGAAAUUGAGAUUGAGAGCAGACCCUCGGCACUUCAACAUGGGACUGACUCAAGUAAGCAGACGAACAAACUCUCCAGAAGACGUGUGAGACAGCCAGGAGGACCGAAGUCGACUGUACAAGGUAAUAUAUUUAUCUGUGAUUAGAAGUAUAUACAAAAUAUGUGCCGUUUUGAUGAUUUGUAUUUUAACGAUUUUCCCCUCUGUCUAAACAGAACCAUCAAAACAGAACCUUCAAACGUGCGCCUCUCUGAGCACUGUGACUCCCACGGCAGCUCCACUCUCCCGUGAACCUUCUGCCCCUGCGAGGAGACGUAGAAUACGGCAAGCGUGUACCACUCUGACCCCUGUACUUACAGCGGGACCCACGGCAGCUCCACUCUCGCUUUCACCAGAUCCUUUCGAACCUGCGAGGCCGAUAAGGAGACGUAGGAACCAGAGACACAAGUCUAACAUU
rnacentral:lncRNA from 1 species